AUGCGUCACAUAGGAGGUCUCUUCUUCCACCUCCGUCCGCCUCGUUCUUCCAGAAGAAAUAGUUUGUUUCGUUCGUCUCCUCCGGUCCUCCCCCCUCCAAUUCCAAUGCAGUCCCCUGCUCCGGCGAGCUCGAGCUCGCCGUCUUCCCCCAUGCCUUCUUUCCCUGAGAGCAUGGUGGGGAAGACUCUCCAGUUGCUCCUUCCGUACCACGACGCCAUCAUCAGGGGCAUCGAGCGCAGCAACGACGACAAGCUCACCCGUGUCAAGAUCGAGGCUCUGCCCGGGGUUGCGUCUUCUGCUGGAGAACUGCGACCGGAGAGCACGGAAGGGCUGAAGUUUGUAGGCGCUCUCCACAUGGACGACAUCUCAGGGCACGAGUGCACGCUUACAGUCCAUGACCACCAAGUGCACAAUUGUCGCUCUUGCACAGAAGUGAGAGUCCCAGCUUUCCACCGAUUCUCAGAGACCGUGGUAGGGAGGACAGUCCGCUUCUCUGGGUCAGAUCCCUACUCCAUUGAGGUUGAUGUCCAAGAUGUAGAGAGACGGGAUUCUGUUACCACAGUAUAUCUUCGGACGGGUGUCAUCUCCCUUCCUGCCUCCACUGGUGACACGGUUGUACUGAGGUCCACAGAUACCUCGGACAGAUGGCAGGGAGACAUCGGAUAUUGGCCAAACCCUAGCUUUACUGCUAAAUCUGAGAAGAAAGAAAAAGAUGGAAGUAAAACUGACCAAAGUUUCUAUGGACAAGACUUUGAGAGGGAUGUCUUGAUUUAUGUGCGAGAUGAGCAAGUGUGCAUAUGCAGUAAACUGUCACUGUGGCUACCAAAUACGAAGAUAUUGAUUAAGCCAGCACCAAAUUGUCCUGCUAACAUUAAUAUCUUACAUGGCAAGUCUUCCCAGCGAAAUCGCAGGUCAUCUAAACAGAAAGAAUGUGAAGCUGAGCAGAAAAUUAAAGUUGCAAUAAAUGGUUAUGGAAAGAUUGGGAGGGCGCUCGCUAGAGCCGCUUUGCAGAGUGAAGGUGUUGCCCUUGUUGCUGUCAAUGAUCUAUCUGGAGGAGACGAAAUUAGUUGUAUGUUUAGGGAUAUAUGGGAAUUUGGAGUGAAAAACUGUAACUCUGAUAUUCCUAAGGAUGUCGCUUCGUACGAGGAAAUCGAUCCUGAUUCAGUCCCUUGGUACAUGACCGGCCCCCAGUUUAUUGUGGAGACUAGUUCCGAUUGUAGCCAGGAUGCUGACCAUUACAGGAACCUCUUGAAACAAUAG
rnacentral:rRNA from 1 species